rnacentral:misc_RNA from 1 species
GUUUCUUCUUCCUCCCAAACAGAGGAUUUCCAUUCUAAUACCUCCGCCGCCGCCGCCGCGAAGGAUCAAACAGUAGAACACCUUCACCAACCUCUGUUCAAUCACUCUCUUUUCUCGAAUCACUCUGUUUUCUCAAACCACUCUGUUUUUUCUUCUUCUUCUUCUCCUCAUUCCCGCAGCUCUCUUUAUCCCAUUUCUUCUCUCACUAAAAACCUCUAUUAAAGCAUGCUUUAAGCUUACUUCCAACCA